UGUAGGGGAAAGCAUUCCGCUUUCACCAUGUAGACAUAUCUAUUGCCUGUAAAGGUUUCUCAAAAGGACAGAUACAGCUAUUUAGUUAUUGCUUUACUUGAUUACAUUUUAUCCUACUCUGAUUUAGUGCAGCACAUUAUUUGGUCGACAUUGUUCUAAAGCAUGGCUUCAUAAUCUUCAUUAGAAGUAUUGCAUCAAGCGCUAAGCGGAUUUCGAGUGACUACUGAGUCUCUAACGUGUAUUAGCACACCUGAGGGAAAGCCAUUCAAUCUGAGAGGAAGAUGUACUACAAUGGUUGCUGUGUCCAUGUCUUCAAACCACAUUACCGAAUGGCUAUCACCUUCCAACGGCUGGACGACCAAUUUACAACAGUACUUGGACAAAGCACCUUACCUGAUGAUCACUUGGCUGUCUCUCAACAACAGUGUGCUGAUAGCCUGUUUUAAAGUCAAGGAUCGCAACCAACGGCUCCUGGUCUGUGGGUCUGGUGCCAGCUCCCCAGGCGAGCGACCCAAUUCUGGGCAUCCAGGCCGGCGAGAGGAGAGCAGAACGCUAGAAGCCGGACAGGAGAGGGAGGGGGAGGACGGCGCAGCCUAGACCCAGUUAACCAGCUGCACCUGGCACUCCUGCUCCUUGCCCCAAAUAGUUGAACCUUUGUCGCGCUCCAUUGCUGUAGCAGUCUUGCUAGGUGUGCUAUAGGCUCAUUAUUCCACCCAGCCAACUCCUGGCAUUCAGGCCCUAAUCUCUCGUGGACAGAUGAACCUAACAUAAAUGAUAGCAGCGACUGUCAACAGACUGAGAUAUGACAACUAACGAGGAACUUUGGUCUAGUACGCAGAUCUUUUUGUUGUGAAUAAUUUGGACAAAUCACAAUUUCGCAGGUGCUCACAUCUUUCGAAUUUUGGAAAGAACAUUGGGUCCAUACACUUGCAGAGUUUCCGUUUAAGGGAGGUGCUUAAUAUAUUUAACUUUGAUUGAUUGAUCUGACCAAAUUACAUACAAUUUUUGUUCUGGGUUUACCAAGAUUAUUCAGGCCCUAAAUCAAGAAAGAUCAAAUUUCUUCCUAGGGGAGCUACAGUUGUGUGUGCAGGCAUUUCUGUGCAUUUCUCCUUUGCAAAGAUAAACCAAGAAGCUGAUUAACCAGCAUGAUCUUUACACAGGUGCACCCUGUGCUGUGGACAAAAAAAGGCCACUCUAAAAUGUGUUGUUUUGCCACACAACACAAUUCCACAGAAGUCUCAAGUUGAGGAAGCGUGCAAUUGGCAUGCUGACUGCAGGAAUGUCCACCGGAGCUAUUGCCAGAGAAAUGAAUGUUCAUUUCGCUACCAUAAGCUGCCUCAAACGUUGUUUUAGAGAAUAUGUCAGGAAGUCCAACCAGCCUCAUUACCACAAACCAGGUGUAACCACAUCCGGCUUCUUCACAUAUGGACAACAAACACAAUUGCAUUUUAUGGAUGACAAUUUGAAUGAACAGAGAUACCGUGAUGAGAUCCUGAGGCC